CUGGCUGCCUCUCACAAAUACAUCCCAAGUACCAGUAGCCAUUUUCUAGCACACUUACUCCCUAUCUAACCAAGCAACCAGCUUGUAGCCUCCUAGGGGCAGCAUGCCAUUAGUUCUCCUGUUGAGAUAAGCAUGUUAACAAUUCAAAGUACCAUGCUACCAUUACUGUUUUAACUUCUCUUUAGCUGCAGACAUGUUAGCUUGCACACUGAUCCACUUAAUACUCAUAUGUCUAUGCAAUAGUUCUCUCUUAUCAUAAUUUUAAAAUGCGCAGUACCUACAAUUGCCAUAUUACUGUCUCAAACUACAAAAC